rnacentral:lncRNA from 1 species
CCAGACUCCUCCCAAAGGGAGGAAGCUGCCCGUCUGAGCUAAGGCCCACCACUUGGCCUGGCAGCUUAUCUGCCCAGCUCAGGCCCUGCCGGCCAGGAAAGCCUCCCUGAGGCAGGCUGGGGGUUGGAGGUGCCCCAUGUGCCAGUGGGCCCAGCUGUGGAGCCGAGCCUGCAGGGACGCAUCUUCAGCAAACAACGAGGAAAGAAAUGGGCUCCGCCAGACUCCUCGGCAUCUCGAGGGCACUGCAGGCUGGGGACCGGCUCCAGGAGUCUGUUCUGGGAAGGAGAAGGGGUGACUGCCUGCCUCGAGGAGCCGCCCCAGAGGGCCCAGCAGGGAAGGACGGGCAGGAGGCUCCAGACACGGCCCUGGUGGCUCCUGUUGGCCCGAGUCACCUGGAAGGCGUUGUCCAGCGCCUACACUGAUGGUGGAAAGCUGUGGUGGGGAGGCUCCCGCCAGAGAAGCCCUCAGGCCAGAGCAGCGGGUCCUCCCUGAACACCCCCCACAACCCCUGCUAUUGUCUCUCCCUGUCUCUGUCUGCCUCUGUCUCUGUGUCUCUGUCUGUCUCUGUCUCUGUCUCUCUCUCUGUCUCUGUCUCUGUCUCUCUCUGUGUCUCUGUCUGUCUGCCUCUGUUUCUGUGUCUCUGUCUGUCUCUGUCUCUGUGUCUCUGUCUCUGUGUCUCUGUGUCUCUGUGUCUCUGUCUGCCUGUCUCUGUGUCUCCCUCUGCCCCUGUCUCUGUGUCUCUCUGUGUCUCUGUCUCUGUCUCUCUCUGUGUCUCUGUCUGUCUGCCUCUGUUUCUGUGUCUCUGUCUGUCUCUGUCUCUGUGUCUCUGUCUCUGUGUCUCUCUGUGUCUCUGUCUCUGUCUGCCUCUGUCUCUGUGUCUCUGUCUCUGUGUCUCCCUCUGCCUCUGUCUCUGUGUCUCUCUGUGUCUCUGUCUCUGUCUCUCUCUGUGUCUCUGUCUGUCUGCCUCUGUUUCUGUGUCUCUGUCUGUCUCUGUCUCUGUGUCUCUGUCUCUGUGUCUCUCUGUGUCUCUGUCUCUGUCUGCCUCUGUCUCUGUGUCUCUGUCUCUGUGUCUCCUUUCUGUGUCUCUGUCUGUCUCUCCUCUGUCUCUGUGUCUCUCUGUGUCUCUGUCUCUGUCUCUCUCUGUGUCUCUGUCUGUCUGCCUCUGUCUCUGUGUCUCUGUCUGUCUCUGUCUCUGUGUCUCUCUGUGUCUCUGUCUCUGUCUCUGUCUGUCUGUCUGUCUCUCCCACCUCCACAUCUAAUCUGUCACUAA